AGCUCGCCGGAAAUUGAAGAACACAGUGAACCAUCCUUGAAUUCGAUCUCCAUUGAAUUGGUUGCAUGUCUGAUAUAUGGACUGGGUUUUGUAGAGUAGAAGAAGAGAAAGAGUUUGGUGGUGGUCUCGCCGUCUGGGGUGGCCGGAAUAGGGCGGAGGGCGGCGAAGAAGAUGGAUGCGGCGGAGAGAGAGGAGGAGGAGAGAAACAGACGGGUCAACGCCCGAAAUGGGAUUUUGACCGAGGUCAACAGUCUCUUCCCUUUUAUAUAGGGAAAUGUACGGCCAAGAUUAAAAGGAGGAAAACAAUCAUUUUUUACACGAAGAACGGUUAACUGGUAUCGUGCAAAACUCUAUUUUUUUUCGUUUUCGAACCUAAAACUCGUAUACAUGAGAUUUAGGAACGCAUGAAAAAAAUUGUUAAAUUGGCCCUCCGGUGGUUAGGCUCCUCUUAAAAGCGCCUAAGUGUAUUUAGAGCUGACUACUUUUAUUGGGAAUCAAACGUUACCGAAAGUUUGUGAUUUUUAACCCUAUAUGUAUUUUACUAUUCCGGUCACAUCCUAUUUCAUAAGAUUUUUCUAAAAUUUUGUUUUCUUUUAGUAUAGUUGGUUCACAAUAAUGUACAAGUCAUAUAACCUACUAAACAAGUUAUACCGCUUUAGUAGGCACGUGGCGAUCCGAGGUCAUAAAUAUGUGAAAAUAAAAAUUUCACCGUCAGAUAUAGAUAUGGUGAUUAAAUAGGUCUACUGAAAAAAAUCCACCCUGUUUCGGAUUCGUCAGACCCCCCAUCGAAUCGGUCAACCUAAAUUCAACAUCAUUUUUUACACGAAAAACGGUUGACUGGCAUCGUGCGAAACCCUAUUUUUUUUCGUUUUCGAACCUAAAACUCGUAUACAUGAGAUUUAGGAAUGCAUGAAAAAAAACUUAGUUAAAUGGCCUUCCGGUGGUUAGGUUCCCCCUUAGGAGCGCCUAAGCGUAUUU
rnacentral:lncRNA from 1 species